UUUAGUGGACUCUGGCUUCAUGAUGGUAGGAGCAGCCGGUCUGAUGACUGCUGCUGAUGCAGUUGAAACUGUUGGCUUGGGUUUGGAUUUUGGAACAGCAGUCUCUCUCCUUACGCGAACUGAAGCAGGAACCAUAGCUGUAAGUUGCAGUGUGCUGUGCUAAUGGCCUCUUAACAACAGUAGAUGCAGCAGAUUUGACAUAAGAUGGCUUCU
rnacentral:misc_RNA from 1 species